ACGGGUGAGUAACACGUGGGUAACCUACCCAUAAGACUGGGAUAACUCCGGGAAACCGGGGCUAAUACCGGAUAACAUUUUGAACCGCAUGGUUCGAAAUUGAAAGGCGGCUUCGGCUGUCACUUAUGGAUGGACCCGCGUCGCAUUAGCUAGUUGGUGAGGUAACGGCUCACCAAGGCAACGAUGCGUAGCCGACCUGAGAGGGUGAUCGGCCACACUGGGACUGAGACACGGCCCAGACUCCUACGGGAGGCAGCAGUAGGGAAUCUUCCGCAAUGGACGAAAGUCUGACGGAGCAACGCCGCGUGAGUGAUGAAGGCUUUCGGGUCGUAAAACUCUGUUGUUAGGGAAGAACAAGUGCUAGUUGAAUAAGCUGGCACCUUGACGGUACCUAACCAGAAAGCCACGGCUAACUACGUGCCAGCAGCCGCGGUAAUACGUAGGUGGCAAGCGUUAUCCGGAAUUAUUGGGCGUAAAGCGCGCGCAGGUGGUUUCUUAAGUCUGAUGUGAAAGCCCACGGCUCAACCGUGGAGGGUCAUUGGAAACUGGGAGACUUGAGUGCAGAAGAGGAAAGUGGA
rnacentral:rRNA from 1 species